rnacentral:rRNA from 1 species
UACGGAGGGUGCAAACGUUGCUCGGAAUCAUUGGGCGUAAAGCGCACGUAGGCGGCCUGACAAGUCGGGUGUGAAAGCCCUGGGCUCAACCCAGGAAGUGCACUCGAAACUGCCAGGCUUGAAUAUGGAAGAGGGUCGCGGAAUUCCCGGUGUAGAGGUGAAAUUCGUAGAUAUCGGGAGGAACACCAGUGGCGAAGGCGGCGACCUGGGCCAUUACUGACGCUGAGGAGCGAAAGCGUGGGGAGCGAACAGG